AUUGAACGCUGGCGGCAGGCUUAACACAUGCAAGUCGAGCGGAGAUGAGGUGCUUGCACCUUAUCUUAGCGGCGGACGGGUGAGUAAUGCUUAGGAAUCUGCCUAUUAGUGGGGGACAACAUUCCGAAAGGAAUGCUAAUACCGCAUACGUCCUACGGGAGAAAGCAGGGGAUCUUCGGACCUUGCGCUAAUAGGUGAGCCUAAGUCGGAUUAGCUAGUUGGUGGGGUAAAGGCCUACCAAGGCGACGAUCUGUAGCGGGUCUGAGAGGAUGAUCCGCCACACUGGGCCUGAGACACGGCCCAGACUCCUACGGGAGGCAGCAGUGGGGAAUAUUGGACAAUGGGGGGAACCCUGAUCCAGCCAUGCCGCGUGUGUGAAGAAGGCCUUAUGGUUGUAAAGCACUUUAAGCGAGGAGGAGGCUACUGAGACUAAUACUCUUGGAUAGUGGACGUUACUCGCAGAAUAAGCACCGGCUAACUCUGUGCCAGCCGCCGCCGUAA
rnacentral:rRNA from 1 species